AACGCACAUUGCGCCCUUUGGUAUUCCGAGGGGCACGCCUGUUCGAGCGUCAUUUAAACCAUCAAGCCCUGCUUGGUCUUGGACGCGGUCGGGUGACCCGUCCGUAACCCGUUGGCGGUGCAGUCCGGCUUCAAGCGUAGCAAGAAUUUCGCUUCAGGAGUCCGCGGCGGCGUCUGCCAGGAAACACCACCCAAAGUUUGACCUCGGAUCAGGUGAGGAUACCCGCUGAACUUAA
rnacentral:misc_RNA from 1 species